rnacentral:rRNA from 1 species
AGGGUGCGAGCGUUAAUCGGAAUUACUGGGCGUAAAGCGGGCGCAGACGGUUACUUAAGCAGGAUGUGAAAUCCCCGGGCUCAACCUGGGAACUGCGUUCUGAACUGGGUGACUAGAGUGUGUCAGAGGGAGGUAGAAUUCCACGUGUAGCAGUGAAAUGCGUAGAGAUGUGGAGGAAUACCGAUGGCGAAGGCAGCCUCCUGGGAUAACACUGACGUUCAUGCCCGAAAGCGUGGGUAGCAAACAGGAUUAGAUACCCUGGUAGUCCACGCCCUAAACGAUGUCGAUUAGCUGUUGGGCAGCAUGACUGCUUAGUAGCGAAGCUAACGCGUGAAAUCGACCGCCUGGGGAGUACGGUCGCAAGAUUAAAACUCAAAGGAAUUGACGGGGACCCGCACAAGCGGUGGAUGAUGUGGAUUAAUUCGAUGCAACGCGAAGAACCUUACCUGGUCUUGACAUGUGCGGAACCCUCCAGAGACGGAGGGGUGCCUUCGGGAGCCGUAACACAGGUGCUGCAUGGCUGUCGUCAGCUCGUGUCGUGAGAUGUUGGGUUAAGUCCCGCAACGAGCGCAACCCUUGUCAUUAGUUGCCAUCAUUAAGUUGGGCACUCUAAUGAGACUGCCGGUGACAAGCCGGAGGAAGGUGGGGAUGACGUCAAGUCCUCAUGGCCCUUAUGACCAGGGCUUCACACGUCAUACAAUGGUCGGUACAGAGGGUAGCCAAGCCGCGAGGUGGAGCCAAUCUCACAAAACCGAUCGUAGUCCGGAUUGCACUCUGCAACUCGAGUGCAUGAAGUCGGAAUCGCUAGUAAUCGCAGGUCAGCAUACUGCGGUGAAUACGUUCCCGGGUCUUGUACACACCGCCCGUCACACCAUGGGAGUGGGGGAUACCAGAAGUAGGUAGGGUAACCGCAAGGAGCCCGCUUACCACGGUAUGCUUCAUGACUGGGGUGAAGUCGUAACAAGGUAGCCGUAGGGGAACCUGCGGCUG